CAUAUCACAUUGAAAUUAUCGGAUCCCGUACGAUCACCGAAGUUAAGCAACGUCGAUUCCGGUCAGUACCUAGAUGGGUGACUACUUGGGAAUACCAGGUGGUGUAAG